GGCAGCCGGAUAGCUGCGUCAUGGCAAGUAAGAGCCGAUGAUGAGGAAAGUCCGGGCUUCACGGAAACAAGAUACCGGAUAACGUCCGGCUGGAGAAAUCCAAGGGAUAGUGCCGCAGAAAAUUACCGCCGCGAUUUAAUUGCGGUAAGGUUGAAAAGGCGAGGUAAGAGCUCACCGCAUGAGCAGUAAUGUUUAUGGCAAGGUAAACCCUAUCUGAUGUAAGACCAAAUUAGGGGGCGUUUGUAAGUUUUUUACGGGCGCAAGGGGUGUUUCCGACCCGCCCCAGAGGUAGGUCGCACCAGCCAAGCGGUAACGUUUGGCGCAGAUGAAUAGCUAUCGCACAUAUCUUUGCUUUUUAGUAAAGCUAUUUGUGUACAGAACCCGGCUUAUAGGCUGCCU
rnacentral:RNase_P_RNA from 1 species